UACGGAGGAUCCAAGCGUUAUCCGGAUUUAUUGGGUUUAAAGGGUGCGUAGGCGGCCUAUUAAGUCAGUGGUGAAAGCCUGGAGCUUAACUCCAGAGCUGCCAUUGAUACUGAUGGGCUUGAGUACAGUUGAGGUUGGCGGAAUGUGUCAUGUAGCGGUGAAAUGCUUAGAUAUGACACAGAACACCGAUUGCGAAGGCAGCUAGCUAAACUGUAACUGACGCUGAGGCACGAAAGCGUGGGUAGCAAACAGG
rnacentral:rRNA from 1 species